CUCAGAGGUAAUCAUGUUUAAAAGAUGCCAUGAAAGUAGUGACUGACGGAAGAGGGAGACAUUCUAGGUGACUUGACUGAAGAAAGGGCUUCCAGAAUGUGAAAGAUUGCAGCUGCCUGCCUUGCCUACUUGUCGAAGCAGUUUCUUUGCUCACUGUCAUCUGGAUGCAAUGUCCUCAAAGGACAGUGCAACCACCUUUUAAAUAGCAGGUCUUCAAAUGAUUCAGGUACUGAAAAAGUUAUGACUCACAGUGCUGUUACUGGAUCAGCCCAGUCUCCCUAAAGGAAAGAGUCCAAGGAGUCCAAACAACUAAAUAAAAUAAAGCCAUCUGGAAGCUUUUCCUGGUCUGAUCUAGUCUACCUGGACCUGUCUAAGAAGCUCCUGUUCAAUACAGAAAAAAGAUCUGGGUGCUUGUGUCCAAAACAUAAUCCUUUUGCAUAUGUUGGUAUAUGUUCAAAUCCUACCUUACAAGUGUCUAAUUAUGCUUAUUUCUCCUGCUUACAGCUCUAUAUUGUAUGGGUAAUUUAGUGGAUUCAGGUUUUUGAAAAUGAAUGCCCUCAUUUAUUAUUAUUUUUUUUUUUAUUCUUUUUAUUACUGCAGCAUUGUAUUUUACUAAAUAAACAUUACAAAGAUGCUCAA